GCUCGAGCGGUGAUGGGCUCGAGACCUCGCGGCUCUCUAUAGUCGGCUUCGACUUUUCUCUCUGAUGCUCAACUGCUGAGUUCUCAGCCCUCACUCUUCCUUUCUUCCAACCUUCCUCAAGGUUUCUACUUUUUACCCUAAAAACCGAGCCUCGGGUUCUUACAUUAACAACGUGAUGAGAGCUAUCUGAAUAAAAUCAUAUGUAACUUUUAGUAAAGAUGAGAUUUUGUGGAUGAAAUGUUAUUGCUUGAUGUAGUAGUAGCUGUCCUGAUUCUUGGCGGGGCACUCAAGUUUGUGUCCCUGCUGUAUAUGUGGACAAAAAACCAUUUAUGUGAUUUAGGUGGGGUUCCGAUGAGUUUAGCAAUGCCCAUAAAGAACCCACAUUACAUGAAAUCCGGUCGUCAACCAGUUUUCAUAAUUUUCUUCAAUCAGGGUGCAUUUUAUGAUUUCAUUGAAAACUAUGUAUGUCAUGAUUUGGUUGUUCUAGCUGGCUGCUAUUCUGCAAUAGAUUGGGGAAUUGCCAUUUGGACAUUGGAGAGGAGUUAAAUAAUGACCAGGACCAACUACACUUCCAGUUUGCAAGGACUCAAAUCACUACCAACCAAAAGAUUCGGUAUACUGAACAAACUGACACCAGAGAAGUUUGAUGUUUUCAAGGGCCAACUGAUUAGCUAUGGAAUUUCAAGUUCAGAUAUUUUAACAGUUCACAUUAUUGCAAGUCUUGAGUCCCUUCUUGUGCAGUUGUGCCUAGUAAUUCAAUUAUUUAGUUGGCAAAUAAACUGUGUGGGCUGUUGGCCUUGUAGGGUGUUAUCUUGAUAAGGAACUGCUGAAACCCAAAAUUUGCCCCUGUAUGUGUACCCUGGCCUUAGGGUUUUAAUAAUUCUUAGUUUAUUGUUAUCUUAUCUAUAUGCAAAUGAAGGCCAAAAAAGAGAAGAAAUGGACGAAUUAUUAAUGUUCUUGUGAUUGAAUUGUUGAAAGGUGGGUUGCUGAUUAGUGUUUAUGCUAGGUCUUGUGCUCAGAUUGUGGGAUUUUUAGAUGAGGUAGGGGAGAUGUUUUGUAUGAGGGAUUUUAUGGUGGUGCGGAUUGUAAACGCAAUGGUGAAGGAUUCAAGGAAGAGAAUAAGAUGGCAUUGUGGGUUGGUCAUAAAAAGCAGGUGUAGCCAGGGCAAAUGUGUUCUCUUUCUUUCUGUUCUUCUUGUUGUAGUUGUUGAGGUUUUUUGCGGUUUGCUUGAUCUCAACUGGCCUUAGCCGAUUCUCAGUAUGACAGUUUUCAACACCUUUGAUAGACAUGUAUUCCAAAUGUGGAAGUAUAGAGCAAGCUCUACAAGUGUUUUGUAAAUCCCAAGUUAGAGAUAUCUAUUGUUGGAAUGCUGUAGUCUUUGGGCUUGCACUUCAUGGUCAGGGCUAUUCUGCUUUAGAACUCUUCAACUAGAUGAGAAGGAAGCGUGAAAUGUCUGAUGCUAUUACCUUCAUUGGCCUACUCAAUGCCAGUAGCCAUUCACGUCUGUUGCAGGAGGACUAUGGAAUAUCUCUCAAGUUGGAGCACUAUGGAUGCAUGGUUGAUCUUCUGGGUAGGACUGGGCAUCUUGAUCGAGCAUAUCAGAUAAUUGAAGCUAUGCCAUUUGAACCAGGAGAAUCCAUCCAGGGUGCCUUGCUUAGUGCGGGUGCGAUUCAUUAGGAUCUUGACACUGGUGAGAGAGUAAUGAAGCUAAUUUCUUCCAGAUCUCCCCAUCUUAGUGUAAUUGAAGUGAAUGGAUGAUUUCACAAGUUCUUGGCUGUAUAAAUUUGGUAAAAGUUGUACAUAAAUGGUACUUAACA